rnacentral:rRNA from 1 species
GACGAACGCUGGCGGCGUGCCUAAUACAUGCAAGUCGAGCGAAGUUUUUCUGGUGCUUGCACUAGAAAGACUUAGCGGCGAACGGGUGAGUAACACGUAAAGAACCUGCCUCAUAGACUGGGACAACUAUUGGAAACGAUAGCUAAUACCGGAUAACAGUAUUUCUCGCAUGAGAGAUAUUUAAAAGUUGGUUAUGCUAACACUAUGAGAUGGCUUUGCGGUGCAUUAGCUAGUUGGUGGGGUAAAGGCCUACCAAGGCGACGAUGCAUAGCCGACCUGAGAGGGUGAUCGGCCACACUGGGACUGAGACACGGCCCAGACUCCUACGGGAGGCAGCAGUAGGGAAUCUUCCGCAAUGGGCGAAAGCCUGACGGAGCAACGCCGCGUGAGUGAAGAAGGAUUUCGGUUCGUAAAGCUCUGUUGUUAGGGAAGAAUGGAUAUGUAGUAACUAUACAUAUAAGAGACGGUACCUAACCAGAAAGCCACGGCUAACUACGUGCCAGCAGCCGCGGUAAUACGUAGGUGGCAAGCGUUGUCCGGAAUUAUUGGGCGUAAAGCGCGCGCAGGUGGUUUAAUAAGUCUGAUGUGAAAGCCCACGGCUCAACCGUGGAGGGUCAUUGGAAACUGUUAAACUUGAGUGCAGGAGAGAAAAGUGGAAUUCCUAGUGUAGCGGUGGAAUGCGUAGAGAUUAGGAGGAACACCAGUGGCGAAGGCGACCACCUGGACUAAUACUGACACUGAGGUGCGAAAGCGUGGGGAGCAAACAG